GUUAAGCGACUAAGCGUACACGGUGGAUGCCCUGGCAGUCAGAGGCGAUGAAGGACGUGCUAAUCUGCGAUAAGCGUCGGUAAGGUGAUAUGAACCGUUAUAACCGGCGAUUUCCGAAUGGGGAAACCCAGUGUGAUUCGUCACACUAUCAUUAACUGAAUCCAUAGGUUAAUGAGGCGAACCGGGGGAACUGAAACAUCUAAGUACCCCGAGGAAAAGAAAUCAACCGAGAUUCCCCCAGUAGCGGCGAGCGAACGGGGAGCAGCCCAGAGCCUGAAUCAGUGUGUGUGUUAGUGGAAGCGUCUGGAAAGGCGCGCGAUACAGGGUGACAGCCCCGUACACAAAAAUGCACAUGCUGUGAGCUCGAUGAGUAGGGCGGGACACGUGGUAUCCUGUCUGAAUAUGGGGGGACCAUCCUCCAAGGCUAAAUACUCCUGACUGACCGAUAGUGAACCAGUACCGUGAGGGAAAGGCGAAAAGAACCCCGGCGAGGGGAGUGAAAAAGAACCUGAAACCGUG
rnacentral:rRNA from 1 species